rnacentral:rRNA from 1 species
UACGUAGGCAGCAAGCGUUGUUCGGAAUUACUGGGCGUAAAGAGUGUGUAGGCGGUGCUCUAAGUCUGUUGUGAAAUCUCCCGGCUUAACUGGGAGGGUGCGGCGGAGACUGGAGUGCUAGAGUGUGGGAGAGGUAAGCGGAAUUCCUGGUGUAGCGGUGAAAUGCGUAGAUAUCAGGAGGAACACCUGUGGCGAAGGCGACUACCUGGCCUGUUCUUGACGCUGAGGCGCGAAAGCUAGGGGAGCAAACGGG